CCAUCAAAUCCAGUAUUCUACUUCCAGAGGUAGAGAAUACCUGAAAUUUCAGAGGUGAGCAACCAGAAAAACAAACAGCCACAUACCAAUUUAAAUGUGGAAAGCUGUAUCACACAAAGAAGACUAUUCCUUUCCAACUUCUACAGGUGACCCACUUGCACAGUGAAGCAUGAAGCAAAAGAGAGUUAUGAAGAAAGAGAGAAAAAUGAAAUCCAAAGACCCAGGUAUCAGCAACAAUCCAGAUAUCAACAAGCAUCAUAUCACCUUUCUCAAAUGUUAUGUCUGAGCCUUGCUGGGAAGAGCUGUUAGAGCAAAUUCACAAUGGGCCCAACAUUUCCAUCAAGCAAAAUAGUAUUCGCAACACCUGACAAAUUGUGACACCAUCUUCAGAAUGAUUGAAUCAGAACAAUGCUCCAGCUGCAACAAUCAGCUGGAAGAGGGGUGGAAGAUGAUACUCAAUCAGACAAGGGCAUAAACAAGUCCCUGGUGUGGGGGAGGGACACAGCCAAAUCAAGGGCCUUUCUGUAGGGACUUUUUAGUUCAGGGCUACACGUUUCUGUAGCAGUGUCAGCAUGCAAGAAGGACUAGAAUUCUGACACACAGUUGUAUGAUCCUUCUGAGACAGCAGUGUGCUUGUGCUAUUGGACAAGAGUUAACUUCUUCUUCCCCACUUCAUCUCAGGGGUGG